GGGGAAUCUUGCGCAAUGGGCGAAAGCCUGACGCAGCAACGCCGCGUGGGGGACGAAGGCUCUCGGGUUGUAAACCCCUUUCAGGAGGGACGAAAUUGACGGUACCUCCAGAAGAAGCCCCGGCCAACUACGUGCCAGCAGCCGCGGUAACACGUAGGGGGCGAGCGUUGUCCGGAUUUAUUGGGCGUAAAGAGCUCGUAGGUGGCUCGGUAAGUCGGGUGUGAAAUUUCGAGGCUCAACCUCGAGACGCCACCUGAUACUGCUGUGGCUAGAGUCCGGUAGGGGAGCGUGGAAUUCCUGGUGUAGCGGUGAAAUGCGCAGAUAUCAGGAGGAACACCAGCGGCGAAGGCGGCGCUCUGGGCCGGUACUGACACUGAGGAGCGAAAGCGUGGGGAUCAAAC
rnacentral:rRNA from 1 species